AGCGAACGUUAGCGGCAGGCCUAACACAUGCAAGUCGCGCGAGAAUGGGGUCUUCGGAUCCCUAGUAAAGCGGCGGACGGGUGCGUAACACGUGGGUAAUGUACCCUUCAGCGGGGGACAACAGUCCGAAAGGAUUGCUAAUACCGCAUACGUCGGUGAGGCCUUCGGGCCUUGCCGGGAAAGGUGGCCUCUCCAUGGAAGCUACCACUGAAGGAGCAGCCCGCGGCCCAUCAGCUAGUUGGCGGUGUAAAAGACCACCAAGGCAAACACGGGUAGCUGGUCUGAGAGGAUGAUCAGCCUCACUGGAACUGAGACACGGUCCAGACUCCUACGGGAGGCAGCAGUGGGGAAUAUUGGGCAAUGGGCGCAAGCCUGACCCAGCCAUGCCGCGUGAGUGAUGAAGGCCUUCGGGUCGUAAAGCUCUGUGGGGAGGGACGAAACAGGCUGUGGCUAAUAUCCACGGCCCUUGACGGUACCUCCUUAGCAAGCACCGGCUAACUCCGUGCAGCAGCCGCGGUAAUACGGAGGGUGCAAACGUUGCUCGGAAUCAUUGGGCGUAAAGCGCACGUAGGCGGUCCGGUGUGUCGGGUGUGAAAUCCCUCGGCUCAACCGAGGAAGUGCAUUCGAAACUACCGGACUCGAGUAUGGAAGAGGGUCGCGGAAUUCCCGGUGUAGAGGUGAAAUUCGUAGAUAUCGGGAGGAACACCAGCGGCGAAGGCGGCGACCUGGGCCAAUACUGACGCUGAGGUGCGAAAGCGUGGGGAGCAAACAGGAUUAGAUACCUUGGUAGUCCACG
rnacentral:rRNA from 1 species